rnacentral:rRNA from 1 species
GGGUUGUGAGGUUAAGCGACUAAGCGUACACGGUGGAUGCCCUGGCAGUCAGAGGCGAUGAAGGACGUGCUAAUCUGCGAUAAGCGUCGGUAAGGUGAUAUGAACCGUUAUAACCGGCGAUUUCCGAAUGGGGAAACCCAGUGUGUUUCGACACACUAUCAUUAACUGAAUCCAUAGGUUAAUGAGGCGAACCGGGGGAACUGAAACAUCUAAGUACCCCGAGGAAAAGAAAUCAACCGAGAUUCCCCCAGUAGCGGCGAGCGAACGGGGAGCAGCCCAGAGCCUGAAUCAGUGUGUGUGUUAGUGGAAGCGUCUGGAAAGGCGCGCGAUACAGGGUGACAGCCCCGUACACAAAAAUGCACAUAUUGUGAGCUCGAUGAGUAGGGCGGGACACGUGGUAUCCUGUCUGAAUAUGGGGGGACCAUCCUCCAAGGCUAAAUACUCCUGACUGACCGAUAGUGAACCAGUACCGUGAGGGAAAGGCGAAAAGAACCCCGGCGAGGGGAGUGAAAAAGAACCUGAAACCGUGUACGUACAAGCAGUGGGAGCACGCUUAGGCGUGUGACUGCGUACCUUUUGUAUAAUGGGUCAGCGACUUAUAUUCUGUAGCAAGGUUAACCGAAUAGGGGAGCCGAAGGGAAACCGAGUCUUAACUGGGCGUUAAGUUGCAGGGUAUAGACCCGAAACCCGGUGAUCUAGCCAUGGGCAGGUUGAAGGUUGGGUAACACUAACUGGAGGACCGAACCGACUAAUGUUGAAAAAUUAGCGGAUGACUUGUGGCUGGGGGUGAAAGGCCAAUCAAACCGGGAGAUAGCUGGUUCUCCCCGAAAGCUAUUUAGGUAGCGCCUCGUGAAUUCAUCUCCGGGGGUAGAGCACUGUUUCGGCAAGGGGGUCAUCCCGACUUACCAACCCGAUGCAAACUGCGAAUACCGGAGAAUGUUAUCACGGGAGACACACGGCGGGUGCUAACGUCCGUCGUGAAGAGGGAAACAACCCAGACCGCCAGCUAAGGUCCCAAAGUCAUGGUUAAGUGGGAAACGAUGUGGGAAGGCCCAGACAGCCAGGAUGUUGGCUUAGAAGCAGCCAUCAUUUAAAGAAAGCGUAAUAGCUCACUGGUCGAGUCGGCCUGCGCGGAAGAUGUAACGGGGCUAAACCAUGCACCGAAGCUGCGGCAGCGACGCUUAUGCGUUGUUGGGUAGGGGAGCGUUCUGUAAGCCUGUGAAGGUGUGCUGUGAGGCAUGCUGGAGGUAUCAGAAGUGCGAAUGCUGACAUAAGUAACGAUAAAGCGGGUGAAAAGCCCGCUCGCCGGAAGACCAAGGGUUCCUGUCCAACGUUAAUCGGGGCAGGGUGAGUCGACCCCUAAGGCGAGGCCGAAAGGCGUAGUCGAUGGGAAACAGGUUAAUAUUCCUGUACUUGGUGUUACUGCGAAGGGGGGACGGAGAAGGCUAUGUUGGCCGGGCGACGGUUGUCCCGGUUUAAGCGUGUAGGCUGGUUUUCCAGGCAAAUCCGGAAAAUCAAGGCUGAGGCGUGAUGACGAGGCACUACGGUGCUGAAGCAACAAAUGCCCUGCUUCCAGGAAAAGCCUCUAAGCAUCAGGUAACAUCAAAUCGUACCCCAAACCGACACAGGUGGUCAGGUAGAGAAUACCAAGGCGCUUGAGAGAACUCGGGUGAAGGAACUAGGCAAAAUGGUGCCGUAACUUCGGGAGAAGGCACGCUGAUAUGUAGGUGAAGUCCCUUGCGGAUGGAGCUGAAAUCAGUCGAAGAUACCAGCUGGCUGCAACUGUUUAUUAAAAACACAGCACUGUGCAAACACGAAAGUGGACGUAUACGGUGUGACGCCUGCCCGGUGCCGGAAGGUUAAUUGAUGGGGUCAGCGCAAGCGAAGCUCUUGAUCGAAGCCCCGGUAAACGGCGGCCGUAACUAUAACGGUCCUAAGGUAGCGAAAUUCCUUGUCGGGUAAGUUCCGACCUGCACGAAUGGCGUAAUGAUGGCCAGGCUGUCUCCACCCGAGACUCAGUGAAAUUGAACUCGCUGUGAAGAUGCAGUGUACCCGCGGCAAGACGGAAAGACCCCGUGAACCUUUACUAUAGCUUGACACUGAACAUUGAGCCUUGAUGUGUAGGAUAGGUGGGAGGCUUUGAAGUGUGGACGCCAGUCUGCAUGGAGCCGACCUUGAAAUACCACCCUUUAAUGUUUGAUGUUCUAACGUGGACCCGUGAUCCGGGUUGCGGACAGUGUCUGGUGGGUAGUUUGACUGGGGCGGUCUCCUCCUAAAGAGUAACGGAGGAGCACGAAGGUUGGCUAAUCCUGGUCGGACAUCAGGAGGUUAGUGCAAUGGCAUAAGCCAGCUUGACUGCGAGCGUGACGGCGCGAGCAGGUGCGAAAGCAGGUCAUAGUGAUCCGGUGGUUCUGAAUGGAAGGGCCAUCGCUCAACGGAUAAAAGGUACUCCGGGGAUAACAGGCUGAUACCGCCCAAGAGUUCAUAUCGACGGCGGUGUUUGGCACCUCGAUGUCGGCUCAUCACAUCCUGGGGCUGAAGUAGGUCCCAAGGGUAUGGCUGUUCGCCAUUUAAAGUGGUACGCGAGCUGGGUUUAGAACGUCGUGAGACAGUUCGGUCCCUAUCUGCCGUGGGCGCUGGAGAACUGAGGGGGGCUGCUCCUAGUACGAGAGGACCGGAGUGGACGCAUCACUGGUGUUCGGGUUGUCAUGCCAAUGGCACUGCCCGGUAGCUAAAUGCGGAAGAGAUAAGUGCUGAAAGCAUCUAAGCACGAAACUUGCCCCGAGAUGAGUUCUCCCUGACCCUUUAAGGGUCCUGAAGGAACGUUGAAGACGACGACGUUGAUAGGCCGGGUGUGUAAGCGCAGCGAUGCGUUGAGCUAACCGGUACUAAUGAACCGUGAGGCUUAACCUUACAACGCCGAAGGUGUUU